rnacentral:rRNA from 1 species
CCCAGACUCCUACGGGAGGCAGCAGUGGGGAAUAUUGCACAAUGGGGGAAACCCUGAUGCAGCGACGCCGCGUGAGUGAGGAAGUAUUUCGGUAUGUAAAGCUCUAUCAGCAGGGAAGAAAAUGACGGUACCUGACUAAGAAGCCCCGGCUAACUACGUGCCAGCAGCCGCGGUAAUACGUAGGGGGCAAGCGUUAUCCGGAUUUACUGGGUGUAUAGGGAGCGUAGACGGCGAUGCAAGUCUGAAGUGAAAGGCGGGGGCCCAACCCCCGGACUGCUUUGGAAACUGUAUAGCUGGAGUGCAGGAGAGGUAAGUGGAAUUCCUAGUGUAGCGGUGAAAUGCGUAGAUAUCAGGAGGAACACCGGCGGCGAAGGCGGCCUGCUGGACCGCGACUGACGUUGAGGCUCGAAAGCGUGGGGAGCGAACAGGAUUAGAUACCCUAGUACC